GGAUGUGAGGGUGAUCUGGCUGCGACAUCUGUCACCCCAUUGAUUGCCAGGGUUGAUUCGGCUGAUGUGGCUGGCUAGGCGGGUGUCCCCUUCCUCCCUCACCGCUCCAUGUGCGUCCCUCCCGAAGCUGCGCGCUCGGUCGAAGAGGACAACCACCCCCGCUAGAGGAGGACCGGUCUUCGGUCAAGGGUGUACGAGUAGCUGCACUCCCCUGCUAGGUCCUCCAAACAAGCUCUGAAGGUCCAUAAAAGACACUUGAAGCCCUGACUCUGACAA
ensembl:misc_RNA 7SK 7SK RNA